GACGAACCGUCCAAACGUUAUUCGGAAUCACUGGGCUUACAGAGUUCGUAGGCGGUCUGGAAAGUUGGGUGUGAAAUCCCUCGGCCUAACCGAGGAACUGCGCUUGAAACUACCAGACUCGAGGGAGAUAGAGGAAAGCGGAACUGAUGGUGGAGCGGUGAAAUGCGUUGAUAUCAUCAGGAACACCGGUGGCGAAGGCGGCUUUCUGGGUCUUACCUGACGCUGAGGAACGAAAGCCAGGGGAGCGAACGGGG
rnacentral:rRNA from 1 species